rnacentral:rRNA from 1 species
UGGGGAAUAUUGGACAAUGGGCCACAAGCCUGAUCCAGCAAUUCUGUGUGCACGAUGAAGGUCUUCGGAUUGUAAAGUGCUUUCAGUUGGGAAGAAGAAAGUGACGGUACCAACAGAAGAAGCGACGGCUAAAUACGUGCCAGCAGCCGCGGUAAUACGUAUGUCGCAAGCGUUAUCCGGAUUUAUUGGGCGUAAAGCGCGUCUAGGCGGAAAAAUAAGUCUGAUGUUAAAAUGCGGGGCUCAACUCCGUAUUGCGUUGGAAACUGUUGUUCUAGAGUACUGGAGAGGUGGGCGGAACUACAAGUGUAGAGGUGAAAUUCGUAGAUAUUUGUAGGAAUGCCGAUGGAGAAGUCAGCUCACUGGACAGAUACUGACGCUAAAGCGCGAAAGCGUGGGGAGCAAACAGGAUUAGAUACCCU